rnacentral:rRNA from 1 species
UACAGAGGGUGCGAGCGUUAAUCGGAAUUACUGGGCGUAAAGCGCACGUAGUCGGCUUUGCAAGUCGGGUGUGAAAUCCCCGGGCUCAACCUGGGAACUGCAUCCGAGACUGCAUUGCUAGAGUAUGGGAGAGGGAAGCGGAAUUUCUGGUGUAGCAGUGAAAUGCGUAGAUAUUGGGAGGAACACCAGUGGCGAAGGCGGCUCACUGGACCGGAACUGACGCUGAGGCGCGAAAGCGUGGGGAGCAAACAGG